CAAUAGCGUAUAUUAAAGUUGUUGCGGUUAAAAAGCUCGUAGUUGGAGUUCUGCCAGGUGCCGCCUGUCCGCCCCAGUGGUGAGUACGUGGCGCGCAUUUGGCCCUUUCAAGGGGAGCGUAUCUGCACUUUAUUGUGUGGUGCGGGAUCCUUGACUUUUACUUUGAGGAAAUAGGAGUGUUCCAAGCAGGCUCUCGUCGUGCACAGCUCAGCAUGGAAUAAUAGCAUUGGACCUCGAUUCUAAGCUGUUGGUUGCCAGAAGCGAGGUAAUGAUGAAGAGGGAUAGUUGGGGGCAUUCGUAUUUAACUGUCAGAGGUGAAAUUCUUGGAUUUGUUAAAGACGAACUACUGCGAAAGCAUCUGCCAUGGAUGUUUUCAUUGA
rnacentral:rRNA from 1 species